ensembl:lncRNA
UUGUUCUAGUAAGAGAUUUAAAUGUUGUUAAGUUUUGUUCUAUUAAAUAUUGUUCAGUUUUGUUUGAUUAAAGGGUUUAAAUAUUGGUAAAAAUUGUUCUAUUAAGGUUCAAGUUUCAAGUUUAUUUUAUUUUUAUAACACCAGUGAUGCAUUUUGGACCAACUGAAAAUGGGCCAAAGAAGUGGCAUUCAUUCCACAAUACAAUGAAUUGCAGUAAUCUAAACAUGAUGAAAUAAUUUUAGAAAGAAGAUGGAGAUUAAAAAAGCCAGAUCUAACCACUAAUUUUACUUGUUUAUCAAAUAUCAACUUGCUGUCAGUCAAGAUUUCAAAACUGGUCAAUAUUGUUCUAUGAAGAGAUUAAAAUAUUGGUCGGUUUUGUUUUAUUAAGAGAUUUAAAUAUUGGUUAUAUUGUUCCAUUAAGAGAAUUAAUUAAUGUUCAGUUUUGUUCUGUUAAGCAAUUCAAAUGUAAACUGUUUUUGUUGUCAGCAAGAGUAAGCAAUUCUAAAAAAGUAUUAAUAUAAAAUAUGGCUGUUUGUCGCAAGGUGUAAAUUCUGAAGAAGUCUGAAAACACUGAUUCUCGGUCAAAUGCAUGAUGAUUCAAAAGUACAGUAUGACUUGUGAUUUGCUUGUACAGUUUGUGCAUGUUAUGUACAUAACAGUGCCUGAGUUUGCAGAUGGCUGGGAACCAGCGUUGGUGUUGUUGUAGAUGUUCUCUGUAGAGUUGAUGCUCUGAAAUCAGUUACAGUUGUUUGUGAGCGCUCUGGGUGGAUGUGUUCAGGUGUAGCUGUAACUUUCACUGGUAUGUCAGGGCUUGAGGUCUGAACCAGUGUUGUUGAGUCUGAGGAAAUAGUCAAACUAGAAUUAAGUGUUAUAUAAUUUGUUGUGGACUGAGAUGAUUGCGAUUCUGUCACAGGUGUUGGAGUUUCUUGACUGUCAUUUAGCAGAUUUUCUGAUGGAGAUGACAUAGAUGCUGCUUUCUGUACAUUUAUCAGUGUGCUUUUGAAGUCUGUCAGUGUUGAUGUUGUAAAUGAAGGCUCUGCAGUAUAUUCAUUGUCUGGCGUGAUUGGUGACGAUGGAGGCUGAAUAAGUGCAGUGGCAGCAGCAAAUGUUUGAGACAUUUGUGUUUUCAGAUGGUUGAAAGAUGUAGUAUUUAAUUCAUUAAUAGAUUGGUAGAUUGCUGGCGAGUAAGAAGUGUCACUUAGAGAAGUGUUCUUCAGUUGUGUAGUUGGUUGAAUGGUUGAGUGAGACUCGGCUGUACUUGUGUUUGUGAGGGUAUUUGGUUCUGAUGUUUUGGUGAAGAUAGAUGAACUUGAGUCUGGAGUUGUUGUAGAGGAAAUCAUUGUAGUUGUCGAUUCAUUUGAUGUUAUGGUGACUUGAGUAUGGUCUGAUGACUCAAGCUGUUGUGUUGUUGUAACAGUGGAGUAUGAUGUUUUAGAAGACGGAAAUGAAGAGCCUGUAGUUGUAGACGCAAGCAUUGUUGUUGUCGAUUCAGAAAAUGAUGUCUUUGUGACACUACUGUUGGUUGAAGUUUCGGUUGUUGGCUCAGGCCUUUGGGUACCAGUUAAUGUUCCAGUAGACCAAUAAAUGGAUGUAUUGCUGUCUGAGGUAUGCUCUACUUUAUAUUGUGUUUUGGAAUCAGUGGUGGUAAUGGAAUCAUUGUUUGCAUGAAUUGGAGUCAGUAUAGGUGUCUCAGAUGUUGUUGAUGUGUCCGAGCUAGUUGUUUUAGUGCUUCCUGUUGAACUUAUCCCAUGUGCAGUGGCAGUGGUUAAGGGCUCCAUGGUUUGAGUGGCAUUGCUUUGUUGUUUUGAUGUUGAGUCAGAAGUGUCACUGAGAGAAGUGUUCUUCAGUUGUGUAGUUGGUUGAAUGGUUGAGUAAGACUCAGUUGUACUUGUGUUUGUGAGGGGAUUUGGUUCUGAUGUUUUGGUGAAGAUAGAUGAACUUGAGUCUGGAGUUGUUGUAGAGGAAAUCAUUUUAGCUGUCGAUUCAUUUGAUGUGAUGGAGACUUGAGUAUGGUCUGAUGACUCAAGCUGUUGUGUUGUUGUCAUAGUGGAGUAUGAUGUUAUAGAAGACGGAAAUAAAGAGCCUGUAGUUGUUGUAGGUGCAAGCAUUGUUGCUGUCAAUUCAGAAAAUGCUGUCUUAGUGAAAUUACUGUUGGUUGAAGUUUUGAUUGUUGGCUCAGGCCUUUGGGUACCAGUUAAUGUUCCAGUAAUCCAAGAAAUGGAUGUAUUGCUGUCUGAGGUUUGCUCUACAUUAUAUUGUGUUUUGGAAUCAGUGGUGGUAAUGGAAUUAUUGUUUGAAUGAAUUGGAGUCAGUUUAUGUGUCUCAGAUGUUGUUGAUGUGUCCGAGCUAGUUGUUUUAGUGCUUCCUGUUGAACUGAUCCCAUGUGCAUUGGCAUUGGUUAAGGGCUCCAUGGUUUGAGUGGCAAUGCUUUGUUGUUUUGAUGUUGAGUCAGAAGUGUCACUGAGAGAAGUGUUCUUCAGUUGUGUAGUUGGUUGAAUGGUUGAGUGAGACUCGGUUGUACUUGUGUUUGUGAGGGUAUUUGGUUCUGAUGUUUUGGUGAAGAUAGAUGAACUUGAGUCUGGAGUUGUUGUAGAGGAAAACAUUUUAGCUGUCGAUUCAUUUGAUGUGAUGGAGACUUGAGUAUGGUCUGAUGAAUCAAGCUGUUGUGUUGUUGUCACAAAUUGUGUAUGGUCUGAUGAAUCAAGCUGUUGUGUUGUUGUCACAGUGGAGUAUGAUGUUUGAGAAGACACAUCAGGGGAUGCUAAUGAAGAGUUUGGAGUUGUUGUAGGCACAGUUAUUGUUGUUGUCGAUUCAGUAUAUGAUGUCUUUGUGACACUACUGUUGGUUAAAGUGUCGGUUAUUGGCUCAGGCCUUUGGGUGCCAGUUAAUGUUCCAGUAGACCAAGAAAUAGAUGUAUUGCUAUCUGAGGUUUGCUCUACUUUAUACUUUGUUUUGGAAUCAGUGGUGGUAAUGGAAUCAUUGUUUACAUGAAUUGGAGUCAGUUUAGGUGUCUCAGAUGUUGUUGAUGUAUCCGAGCUAGUUGUUUUAGUGCUUCCUGUUGAACUGAUCCCAUGUGCAGUAGCAUUGGUUAAGGGCUCCGUUGUUUGAGUGGCAAUGCUUUGUUGGUUUAAUCUUGAGUCAGAAGUGUCACUGAGAGAAGUGUUCUUCAGUUGUGUAGUUGUUUUUAUGGUUGAGUAAGACUCGGUUUUACUUGUGUUUGUGAGGGUAUUUGGUUCUGAUGUUUUGGUGAAGAGAGAUGAACUUGAGUCUGGAGUUGUUGUAGAGGAAAUCAUUGUAGUUUUCGAUUCAUUUGAUGUGAUGGAGACUUGAGUAUUGUCUGAGGACUCAAGCUGUUGUGUUGUUGUAACAGUGGAGUAUGAUGUUAGAGAAGACGGAAAUGAAGAGCCUGCAGUUGUUUUAGACACAAGCAUUGUUGUUGUCGAUUCAGAAAAUGCUGUCUUUUUGACACUACUGUUGGUUGAAGUUUCGUUUGUUGGCUCAGGCCUUUGGGUAUCAGUUAAUGUUCCAGUAGACCAAGAAAUGGAUGUAUUGCUGACUGAGGUUUUCUCUAAAUUAUAUUGUAUUUUGGAAUCAGUGGUGGUAAUGGAAUCAUUGUUUGCAUGAAUUGGAGUCAGUGUAGGUAUCUCAGAUGUUGUUGAUGUGUCCGAGCUAGUUGUUUUAGUGCUUCCUGUUGAACUGAUCCCAUGUGCAGUGGCAUUGGUUAAGGGCUCCGUUGUUUGAGUGGCAGUGCUUUGUUGUUCUGAUAUUGAGUCAGAAGUGUCACUGAGAGAAGUGUUCUUCAGUUGUGUAGUUGGUUGAAUGGUUGAGUAAGACUCAGUUGUACUUGUGUUUGUGAUGGUAUUUGGUUCUGAUGUUUUGGUGAAGAUAGAUGAACUUGAGUCUGGAGUUGUUGUAGAGGAAAUCAUUGUAGUUGUCGAUUCAUUUGAUGUGAUGGAGACUUGAGCAUGGUCUGAUGACUCAAGCUGUUGUGUUGUUGUCAAAGUGGAGUAUGAUGUUUUAGAAGACACAUCAGGGGACGCUAAUGAAGAGUCUGGAGUUGUUGUAGGCACAAUUAUUGUUGUUGUCAAUUCAGAAUAUGAUGUCUUUGUGACACUACUCUUGGUUGAAGUUCCAUUUGUUGGCUCAGGUCUUUGGGUACCAGUUAAUGUUCCAGUAGACCAAAAAAUGGAUGUAUUGCUGUCUGAGGUUUGCUCUACUUUAUAUUGUGUUUUGGAAUCAGUGGUGGUAAUGGAAUCAUUGUUUGCAUGAUUUGGAGUCAGUGUAGGUGUCUCAGAUGUUGUUGAUGUGUCCGAGCUAGUUGUUUUAGUGCUUCCUGUUGAACUGAUCCCAUGUGCAGUGGCACUAGUUAAGGGCUCCGUUGUUUGAGUGGCAAUGCUUUGUUGGUUUAAUGUUGAGUCAGAAGUGUCACUGAGAGAAGUGUUCUUCAGUUGUGUAGUGGCUUGAAUGGUGGAGUAAGACUCGGUUGUACUUGUGUUUGUGAGGGGAUUUGAUUCUGAUGUUGUGGUGAAGAUAGAUGAACUUGAGUCUGGAGUUGUUGUAGAAACAGAGACAUAAAGGUCUGGAGAAUAACUGGCAGUAAAAGUAGGGGCAGUUUGGCAGCAAUCUAGAGGAAAGUAAGAAUUCAAGAUUCCUGAAAAUAAAAACAGGACAUACUUUUUCAGAUACAUGUGAUAGACGGCUCUGUUUUUAUUACUCUUGAAGGUAAUGUAAAUAUUGUAAGUGAUACUCUGAGAGCUUAUAUUAAGUUAUUAUAUGAUAUUGAAAUUCAGUACGAAAUUCAUACUCCCCAAAAGUAUUAGUAUAAAGCUGGGACACAGUUGACUGAAUUUAUGUUUUGAUUUAAUAUAAAAG